CCUGGCCAUUUUGUCGAGGAGUUCGUCUAUCCGAGGCAUGGGAUACGCAUCGGAGGUCGUUUUAUCAUUGUGCCGUCGGUAGUCUACGCAGAAACAGGUCGUCCCGUCCCGUUUCGGCACCAGUACUACCGGGGAGGCCCAGGGGUUGUCCGAGUGCUCUAUCACUCCUAACUGAAUCAUCUCCUCAAUUUCCUUGCGCAUAUUUUCUUUGACUGCUUCUGGGGUGGCGCAGGGGAGUCUGGUCUAAUGUUUCUACCUUAUGGGUAGCCAAAGGGGUAUAGCCUGGUAAAUUGGAAAACGUGGCCUUCUUUUCCUGAAGCAACCUUUGUACCUGAGCCCGCUCUUGGGCAUUUAAUCGUUCUCCUAACUGUACCUCUCCCAGAUCUCCGCUCUGGCCCUCUCGGGCUAAGAGAUCGGGUAGCGGUAGGUUGUCAAAAUCUUCCGUGGCAGGGGCACAGAUUGCGGUGACCUCCUCAGUACGUUCGUGGUACGGCUUGAGCAUGUUCACAUGGAGCAUGCGUUUGCCUCCCGUACCUGUAACCGGGCCGAUUACAUAGGUGGUGUCACAGAUCUGUUCCACCACCUUGUAUGGGCCCUGCCAGGAAGCCUGCAGCUUAUCUUUGUGGACUGGUCGCAAGAUUAGUACUUUUUGCCCCACCUGGAAGCUGCGGUCCCUGGCUCCCUUAUCGUACCAUCUGCGCUGUCGUUGCUGCGCUACCUGGAGAUUGUCUCGGACGGUCUGGGUCAGCCUCUCCAGGCGUUCUCUGAACUCAAGCACAUAUGGUAAGAUAGAGGUGCCAUUAAUGGUUUCGUCUCCCUCCCAGUGUUCCCGUAUCAAGUCAAGAGGUCCCCUCACUCUCCUCCCAAAUAAUAAUUCGAACAGAGAGAAUCCGGUAGAUUCUUGCGGCAC